rnacentral:pre_miRNA from 1 species
AUUUUUUUCGUGUCCAAUAUUUAACCAUUCAUUUUAUUUGAAAUUUUUUUGUGAUUAAUAUUUUUAUUAUUACUGGAUGAUAAAAUAUGAAUAAUAUUUUAUACGUGAUUAAGUUUCUAUAUAAAUUUUUUAAAUAAUAUGAAUGAUCAAAACGUUCGAAACGAAAAA